rnacentral:rRNA from 1 species
UACAGAGGGGGCAAGCGUUAUUCGGAAUCAUUGGGCGUAAAGCGCGUGUAGGCGGCCCGGUAAGUCCGCUGUGAAAGUCCAGGGCUCAACCCUGGGAUGCCGGUGGAUACUGUCGGGCUCGAGUCCGGAAGAGGCGAGUGGAAUUCCUGGUGUAGCGGUGAAAUGCGCAGAUAUCAGGAGGAACACCAAUGGCGAAGGCAGCUCGCUGGGACGUGACUGACGCUGAGACGCGAAAGCGUGGGGAGCAAACAGG